rnacentral:rRNA from 1 species
CGGACCUCAGAUCAGACAAGACCACCCGCUGAGUUUAAGCAUAUCACUAAGCGGAGGAAAAGAAACU